CCUACGGGUGGCUGCAGUGAGGAAUAUUGGUCAAUGGACGAGAGUCUGAACCAGCCAAGUAGCGUGAAGGAUGACUGCCCUAUGGGUUGUAAACUUCUUUUAUAUGGGAAUAAAGUGUUCCACGUGUUGGUUUUUGUAUGUACCAUAUGAAUAAGCAUCGGCUAACUCCGUGCCAGCAGCCGCGGUAAUACGGAGGAUGCGAGCGUUAUCCGGAUUUAUUGGGUUUAAAGGGUGCGUAGGUGGUUUAUUAAGUCAGCGGUGAAAGUUUGCGGCUCAACCAUAAAAUUGCCGUUGAAACUGGUAGACGUGAGUAUAGUAGAGGUGGGCGGAAUGCGUGGUGUAGCGGUGAAAUGCAUAGAUAUCACGAAGAACUCCGAUUGCGAAGGCAGCUUACUAGACUAUAACUGACACUGAGGCACGAAAGUGUGGGUAUCAAACAGGAUUAGAUACCCGAGUAGUC
rnacentral:rRNA from 1 species